GUCUAUAAAGAUUUCAUGCAUAGAAGUGGCAUUUCCUUAUAUAAUCAAUUUCCUAAUUUAAUACUGGAGUAUGGUGGUCAGAGAAGAGCAUUCUGGCAGAAAGGGAACCAUGCAACAGAGCAAGUGAGAAGUGGUAAUAGCAGGGGAGCAGGCUUGUUUAUCUGAUCACCUUCAGCACUUUGGGAGGAGCUACCAACAAAUGACAGCUGUCACCGAGGAGAUGAAGUAAAAGCACCAGAAAUGCAAACCACCUUGUCAGUCUCUAGUGGAAAGAAUGCAAUUGCCUGCCAAGGAUAAGGAUAAAUUUAACACUGAGUCACAGAACAUGAAUAACUGGUGUUUCAGG